rnacentral:rRNA from 1 species
GAUGAACGCUGGCGGCGUGCCUAAUACAUGCAAGUCGAGCGAACAGACGAUGAGCUUGCUCCUCUGACGUUAGCGGCGGACGGGUGAGUAACACGUGGAUAACCUACCUAUAAGACUGGGAUAACUUCGGGAAACCGGAGCUAAUACCGGAUAAUAUAUUGAACCGCAUGGUUCAAUAGUUAAACACGGUUUUGCUGUCACUUAUAGAUGGAUCCGCGCCGGAUUAGCUAGUUGGUAAGGUAACGGCUUACCAAGGCAACGAUGCGUAGCCGACCUGAGAGGGUGAUCGGCCACACUGGAACUGAGACACGGUCCAGACUCCUACGGGAGGCAGCAGUGGGGAAUCUUCCGCAAUGGGCGAAAGCCUGACGGAGCAACGCCGUGUGAGUGAUGAAGGUCUUCGGAUCGUAAAACUCUGUUAUUAGGGAAGAACAAAUGUGUAAGUAACUAUGCACGUCUUGACGGUACCUAAUCAGAAAGCCACGGCUAACUACGUG